AGAGUUGAUAUGGCGUCAGGAUGAACGCUGGACGGCGUGCCUAAUACAUAGCAAGUCGAACGCUAAUUUCGGAUAGAGUGGCGAACGGGUGAGUAACACGUAGGUAACCUGCCCAUAAGACGAGGAUAACUACUGGAAACGGUAGCUAAUACUGGAUAGUAUAUAGAAUCGCAUGAUUUUAUAUUUAAAGGUGCUGCAAGGCACUACUUAUGGAUGGACCUGCGGCGCAUUAGCUAGUUGGUGAGGUAGCGGCCCACCAAGGCGACGAUGCGUAGCCGGACUGAGAGGUUGAACGGCCACAUUGGGACUGAGACACGGCCCAGACUCCUACGGGAGGCAGCAGUAGGGAAUUUUCGGCAAUGGACGCAAGUCUGACCGAGCAACGCCGCGUGAGUGAUGAAGUUCUUCGGAACGUAAAAUUCUUUUAUUUGGAAAAAGCGUAUAGUGUAGGAAAUGACACUAUAGUGAUGGUACCAAAUGAAUAAGCCCCGGCUAACUAUGUGCCAGCCGCUGC
rnacentral:rRNA from 1 species